CCACUUAAAAAAAAUUAGGGGGUGUUUGGAUUGACGAAUUUGUAAAUCCAACCUAAUUCAAGUACAGUGGUGUUUGAGUUUUUCUAAAGUGUGAUUAUUUUUUUGUUGUUUGUUUUCACGUAACUCGUGUAGUUGAAAAGUUAAAUUCAAUUACUUUUUUUGUUUGUUUUGAUGUAACUUUGUGCUACUGAAAUUAAUUUUUUGAGUUUCAUUGUUUGUUUUGAUGUAAGUAAGUGGAUCCCGUUAUCUUCUGAAUAUAAUGGUAAACUUACCGCUAUAAAAUUUAACCUAUUAAAUAAUUAAAAUUUUCAUUAUUAUUUAAAGAUAAUCCUAAUUUAUUAUAAAUAAGGUAAUUCUAACCCAUUAUAAAGGAAGUAGAGUUUAGGUUUUACUAUUUAAUAAACUUUUUAGAGAAGGUUGAGUGUGGUGGACCUCAAGUUCAUUACUUCCGGUAUUUGUUUCGGUGGAAGUGAAAAAUAUAGUGUAACUCAAGUUACGUUAGAGCUCCACUUCACCUAUUCUCGACUUUUCUCUCUAAAGUGCCGAACUCGACUUCCACCACACUCAACCUUCUCUAAAAAGUUUAUUAAACAGUAAAACCUAAACUCUACUUCCUUUAUAAUGGGUUAGAAUUACCUUAUUUAUAAUAAAUUAGGAUUACCUUUAAAUAAUAAUAAAAAGUUUAAUUAUAUAAUAGGUUCAAUUUUAUACUGGUAAAUUUACUACUAUAUUUAGGAGAUAAUGGGAUCCACUUACUUACAUCAAAAUAAACAACGAAAUUCAAAAAAACUAAUUUUACGAGCACCAAGUUAAUUACAAACAAACAGAAGAAGUAAUUGAAUUUAACUUUCAGACGGUACGAGUUACGUCAAAACAAACAACAAAAAAAUAAUCACACUUCAAGAAAACUCAAAUACCACUACACUUGACUUACGUUGGAUCUACAAAUUCGUCAAUCCAAACGCGCCCUUAACUGAACCUUCGUACAACCGCAUUUGCUACUGGUUGGCUCAAGGGACCUUAUGCCCAUCCACCUAUACUAUAUUUGAGUUACUAAUUAUGAGUCUACUUGGAUAUUGGAACAUGUUAUUUGGUGAUAACAAUUAUAUUGUAGGGGCAAUUAUUUAUAUAUUUCUGAAAAGUUUCUAACUUAUUUAUCUCUCUUAAAAAAUUACUAUCUAAAAUAUCUUUUUAAGAUAUCAAAAUCUUUUAAAUAUAUUUCUAAAGUUAAAUUCUGUUAUUAAAUCAUUAGAAAUAGUCAUUAUCUCUGUAAAAUUACUAUUUGACCGUCACCAACAUUUUAUUUUACUCUUGUAAAUAUAUCAUUCCACCGUCCCCAACUUUUUUUAUUUGUUUUUAAGUUAGGGGCAAAAAAAAUAUAUUUUACUCUUGUAAAUAUAUAAUUUUGACGUCACUAACUUUUUUUAUUUGUUGUUAAGUUAGGAGCAAAAAAAAUAUUUUGACUUUUUGACUUUUUAAAAUGUAUUCUUCUACCGUCACUAAUUUUCUACUUAUCCUUAAAUGAGGGGCAAAAUAAGUAUUUUUACUAUUUUUUGACUAUGGUAAAUAUUUAACUCAAAUUUAAUCUCAGAUAACUUAACGAGCACUAAUACUAGGGGUACGUAUUUUAAAUAACUGAGAAGUAUAUGAGAGAUAUAUUUGAAAUAAAAAAAUAGAGGUAGGUAAAAUAUUUCAAAAAUUUUAAGAGGUAUGUUGGCAAUUAUCCCUAUAUUAUAAAAAUGUCUUCUUGUGAACUUCGUCUAUGAGUGUGCUAGGCUUUUUUUUACAAGGACUUGGCUUAGAAUAAUUCAUUUCAACAAAGGUAAUUUAAAUUGUCAAUAAAAAAUGAUAAUAAUUUGGAGUUAGUAUAAUAUACCUUUGUUGGAAACUAAUUGCAUUUGUUGAUCCAUUUUUUUUAGUCAACGAAAUAUAUGUAACAUACGAACAAGAUUUUCCUUCUUUUGUCUUUUGUGAUUGAUUUUCACCGUUUGCACCUUUAUACAGACUUAGAAACAUGAUUCGUUGGACAUUUCACCUAGAUUUACUUUUUUUUAUUCCAAGAAAAUAACUAAAGCCCUCCAAAAUUUUCGAUAUUCCAUAUCCGAUCGGGACCCUACCUGGAUUGUACCAGGAUCCUAACCGGAACCGGUAAAAAAUAGAUAGUAUAUGGGUAAAAAAUUUAUCCAUUAAUAUGAAAGUUUCUAAAUAUGGGUCCGAAUACUUUUUAUUCAUACCCGACUCGAACUCGAUCCGAACCCAAUCUUUUAAUAGGAAUGGUUCAGAAGAGUUUUCAAUCCGGACCCGUACACGGUCCUCGACUCGAACACGGUCCCGGACCCGGACCCAAACUCAAACUUGGUGAAAUAUCGGAUAGUAAAUAAAAAAAUUUGAAGUUGAGGGAUCAAUCCCAGUAAGUCUUAUAGAUGAGGGUCUCUGUGUAUUUUCAUCCUAAUAAAAACCUUAGACGCUAUGUUUACCUCUUUUUUAUUUUUUUAUUUUACUAUUUUUUUAGAAAAAAUUGCCUAUAUACUCCUCAGAACCUCAAAAUAUCUCAUUUACCUAUAUUUUUUUUUGUUCCACAUAUACCCCUUAUAUAUUUCUCUGUUAUUUAAAAAUAUCCCUACUGUUGGUGCCCGUUAAGUCAUCUCGGGUUAAAGCUGAGUUAAAUUUCUACCAUAGCUAAAAAAUAGUAAAAAUAUCUAUUUUGCCCGUAACUUAAGGAUAAAUAAGAAAAGUUAAUGACCUGAGUUAAAAAUAUCCUUACCGUUGGUGCCCGUUAAGUCAUCUCGGGUUAAACCUGAGUUAAAUUUCUACCAUAGCUAAAAAAUAGUAAAAAUAUCUAUUUUGCCCGUAACUUAAGGAUAAAUAAGAAAAGUUAAUGACGGCAGAAGAGUAUAUUUGAGAAGGCAAAAAGUCAAAAUACUUUUUUGCCCUAACUUAAGAGUAAAUAAGAAAAAUUGAUGAUGGUAGAAGGGUAUAUUUAAAAGGGCAAAAUAAUUUUACAAAGAUAACAACUGUUCCUAACAGUUCACUAACAAAAUUUAACUCUAGGGGUAUAUUUGAAAGACUUUGGAACGUCAAAAUGGCAUUUUUAAUAUUAGCCUUCUAAGAAUGAUAAAUAAGAAGUCGAAAACUUUUCAGAUUUAGAAUGAUAAAUAAGAAGUCGAAAACUUUUCAGAGGUAUAUAAGCAAUUGCCUCCAUUUUUUAGCCCUAGCUAUUUACUGCUUGAAUCUUUUUU
rnacentral:lncRNA from 1 species